ensembl:snoRNA small nucleolar RNA SNORD88
UUUCUCCUGUGAUGCUUUGCACUGGGCUCAGAAUGUCUGUGGUGUCAAAAGUGCUUCUCUGUCCUGACAAGACAGAAUCUGAGGAGAAU